rnacentral:rRNA from 1 species
UACAGAGGUCUCAAGCGUUGUUCGGAUUCAUUGGGCGUAAAGGGUGUGUAGGUGGCGCGCUAAGUCGGGGUGUGAAAUUUCGGAGCUUAACUCCGAAACUGCAUUCGAUACUGCCGUGCUUGAGGACUGGAGAGGAGACUGGAAUUUACGGUGUAGCGGUGAAAUGCGUAGAUAUCGUAAGGAAGACCAGUGGCGAAGGCGGGUCUCUGGACAGUUCCUGACGCUGAGGCACGAAGGUCAGGGGGAGCAAACGGG